UUUAACCCCAUUGGAAUAAAAUUGGAACGAUACAGAGAAAAUUAGCAUGACCCCAUUGUUGUGCAAGGAUAACAUGCAUAAAUCGAGAAAAUAACACAUCCCAA